rnacentral:rRNA from 1 species
UACGAAGGGUGCAAGCUUUAAUCGGAAUUACUGGGCGUAAAGCGUGCGUAGGCGGUUUCUUAAGUCUGCUGUGAAAGCCCCGGGCUCAACCUGGGAAUGGCGGUGGAUACUGAGAAGCUGGAGUACGGUAGAGGAAGGUGGAAUUCCCGGUGUAGCGGUGAAAUGCGUAGAGAUCGGGAGGAACAUCAGUGGCGAAGGCGGCCUUCUGGACCAGUACUGACGCUGAGGCACGAAAGCGUGGGGAGCAAACAGG